rnacentral:lncRNA from 1 species
CAUCAGCUUCAUUGGGUUAAAACUGGAGGAAUGGUGAGCAGAAAAACUAAAGAAAUGUAAAAAAAAAAAAAAAAAAGUCCUAAAAAAGUAACCAUUACCCGAGGAAGAAAGAUUGGAUUCCAGCUUCCCCUUCCCUUCCUUUCCUGCUUAUAUAUCUUCAAAUGUGCAAUUUUUUUUUCAGUAAAAGAACACCCCAUGAGCAACCCAGGACUAUACUCCCAUCUUUCCAUGUCCUUCCUCCCUAUUUUCCCCCAUACUCCAAGGAGCCGCUUUCCUGUAACACCAAGAGAAAAGGAGGUUUCUUGGAAAUGCAUCUCAUCACAAGAGUCCAUGCAGGCUCUGACUGCCUCCAGACUUGUGACUUUCACUGCGUUGGGGAGUGAAGACCCUUGUCUCUGGAAGCCAAGACUUUCCAGCAAACAACAGUGUGCCAGACUCUCCGAGGAUGUAAACCAACCCAAAAGCGCCCAGCUAUUUCAGCACAGCAUAAGCAACCG